UGAAGUCUGUGCUUCUUGACAUAUCUAUGAUCUAUUUAACUAUUUGUAUGCUAAUGUGAUAGUAAUUUGGAAAAAAUGGCAUCGAUCCAUGGCCAUUUUUAGUUUUGGAUUAUGAAGUUGUCUUUGCAAUUGGGUAUAAUGACUGACGUUUUUUAUUGAAUCAAGAUGAAGUAAUCAUCCCGUAUGAGGUAGGGUUUUGAAGAGAAUUUCAAAAAUCAUUCUUAAUGAAAGAAAAGAAAUAUUAAACCAAUUAGUCUUGAGUAUCAACUAGAAAGCUAAUGAUAAUAAUUUAGUUGGUGAGACUGCAGAGAAACUAUAAUUUGAAAAUAUGCAGGUUAAAGCUGUAUGAUAGUAUGGUUGAUCUUUGGCUGGAAUGGAAGACCUUAAUGUUUGCUGGAGCUGUUGGAUAUUCUCUUCGUUUUGUUGUAUAUGUUCCAUGCGAAGUGAUGAAGCAACGGAUGCAAGUGUAGAGAACAUAUUCAUCUUGGAGUUCUAUCGCCAUGAAUGAUGGCAUUGCAAUGAAUUCUAGCCCAAAACUGUAUGGUUAUUAGACAGGGAUGUUCUAUGCGGGCUGCUCAAUAUGGAGAACACAGGGUGUAAAGGGUUUAUAUGCAGGGUAUACUCUAGAAACACUCAAUUUCUCUUAUAUAACUUACAUAAUGACGCUAGAGGUCCUGUUUCAAAUUUGAUAGAUUUUUGGAUGAAGUAUUUUAUUCUAGGCAACAAUCAGGCAAUUAUUUUCAUGAUUCAAUUUUAUUAUUUUGUAAAUGUCAAUAGGUGUCAGUUGACACUGAGUGGGUAAACAGCAACUGGAGAUGUAAAAUGAGUCUAUGUGAUAUGAAUGUGUCAUAAUGGGAAAUCAAACUGUUCUGCUUUAUAUGAAA